GGAAGGGUCUAGGCAAGCAACAGACCCUGUGCUUCCACUGGGAAUCCCACUCCAGUAAUUCUGAGCUGAGCCCUCUUUGGCCCCCUGAAGGCGAUGAAAGAUGGGGAUCUGUACGUCCUGGAGCAUCUGAACCACAGCCAUGCCCGAUGACCUGAGUCUCCUUUCCGGAUUUCCAGCUGGAAACCAAGGCCCGUGGUAUCUGGCUGGGCCAAGUGCAAGGCGUCUGGCCCCAGGGAGAGGUGGGGUGAACCUGCACCUGCAGCUACACGGCUAUAAA